GCGUUGAUGGUUUAGUGGUAAAAUUGGCCGUUGCCACCCGAUUCCUUAAUAGGAAGGAGCUCAACUCCCCCUACAAAGGAACAACUUCGGCCAGCCCCGGGUUCGAUUCCCGGUCGACGCA
rnacentral:tRNA from 1 species